rnacentral:misc_RNA from 1 species
GUGGAAAAUUAUAAGGAACACAAAUCUUGAUUCAGUUUCUUGUCAAAUGCAUAUUUCAGGCAGCUGAUGACAGAUAAAUAUAUGGAUGUUACUGAUUUACAAAUCUACAAGGUAAGCAAUCUCUAACGAUGUUAAGUGGUAAUCCCAAAUAUCAGUCCUGGAAACAAAUGGGGGAAAAUAGCCAUACUGGAUAUGCAGAAGACCAA